rnacentral:lncRNA from 1 species
UAGGCUUUUUAGGUAUAUUUAUAGAGUAACUUUGAUAGUUAUUGAUAAUUACAAAAAUGCCACCUUGUCUUUUUGAGUUUUCCUUCAAUUUGUAUGUUUAGUAUGUUAAGAUUAUUUGUACAAGAACUUUCCCCCACUUAUAAAUGGGUCGAUUUGGGUUGGGGUUGUGUUCUACCUCAAAGGGAUUAUUAUAUCGGAAAAAAUAGCUAAAAUGGGAAAGGGUCACGUUGAAAGUCACCCAUUUUAAUCCAUUAAUAUUGUAAAUCGUUUUUAGUAAAUUACACGUUUUGUCCUUUUAUGUUAAUACCCUUUUUCAGGCGGUGUCCAUUGGCGCUAAAAUUGAUGAGUUUUUUACUUAAUGUUUCAAAAUCUUGCACGUUAUGUCCUUUGGCCCUAACCCAGUUAAAUUUUUUGGUUAAAUCUGAUCACUCAAGGGUAUUUUAGUCUUUUAAAAGGUGUGAAACAUCAUAAUAUUGGACUUACUUGGCCACCUUCUUGCAUCCAAGCUGUCAUGUCAUCCAUUGCUAGAGCUGCUACCUAGUGGCAUUUGAUUCAUUAAAACAAAAAUUACAAAUACUUCUGUUACAAAAAUUAAUGUGGUAUUCUCAAAAAAAAAAAAAAAAAAAUCAUAUAACCAAACAUAACGUUUAUUAGUAUAAGAAUUUUGUCGAUUUUCACCUCAUUUCGGGCUUCCAUGCCUUCUGUAUUAUCACCCCGGAAAAAAUCAGCACUCUGCAUAAAAUAAUUGCAAGAUUAACAUCAGGUAUAUUACUGAAUUUAGUAAGUUAAAAAUAAAAGUAUUUAAAUAGAACCCACCUGAUUAGUUCCAUGCUUGAGCCGUCGAUACUGUUACACCACGAAAAACGAUCAGACCAUUUAUCAUAAUCCACAUGCUCUGGUCCAAUAACAAAUAUAUAAUAACGAAAUUAUGAAGCAAUCACCUUGCCAACGUUAAAGUGUUUUGUGUCGUGUCCUAACCAACGGAGAUACCUUGUAAGUUUAGCAGCCGUAAAAGUUUUGCCACGAGCUGGCAACCCAACCUACCAUGUAUAAUCAAGAUUUAAAUAAAAGAGUUAGUUACUGUUUACCAGCAGUGGUCAAAGUAUGUGCGCUCGCUGAUCUGACCAACCGAGGUGACCCCACACCUCUAUCCACAUAAAGCGCUUUAUAACUAUCUUGCUUUUGUAUUGGUGAGAUUGUACCCACAGAUUUCGAUUCAACCAUGCCAGGUAGAUGAAACAGCUUAGGUGGGUCCGGGAUAACAACUUCCAUUUCCUAUUCACAAUAAUAACGUUUAGUGAACAUUUUUAGGAUAUGAUUAUAUAACACAAAGUGAUUAAUUACCUUUAUGGUUGCGGGACGAUCGUUAGAAACACUUGUGUCUUUGUUUGACACGUCAGCACUGGAAAACGCUCCACCUUUUUUAAGAGAUCGUGGAGUCUCGGUCAAAUUAGCAGCGUAAACGACAGAAGUUGCAGGGGCCGGAACUAAAUAUUGUUCAAGAUCAAGGUCCAAACUGGUUGAAGAGCCAUUCUGAGUAUAAAUUUCAAGAAAUGAGAAAGAGAACUUAUUAAACUUACACUUUCAUGGUAAGAUGGGCGAGUAGGGGGGCUACGUUCGUGUUCGUUAAGGAAUUUGUGAACAAUUCGCAAACACAUGACGAACAAAAGUUUAUGUUUGUGUUCGUUUGUUAAGGAAUUUCAGUUGUUCACGAACAGUUCGUGAACACAAAUGAACACAAACGAGUGUAAACAAACAAUGACGAACAUUAAAUAUGAAAAUUAAAAAAAAGCACCCGUAACCUCAAACAUUGGACAUAACAAAAGUAAAAAGUUAAAAACAUUAAAACUUUUAAAAAAACAAACAUAAACAAACGAACACGAACGAGCGUAAACGAACAUAUUGUCAAACGUUCAUGAACGCAUUCGAACGAGGGAGACCUUUGUUCGUGUUCGUUUAUUUAAUUAAUCGAACAAAAUUCAUUAAACGAACAUAAACGAACUUCCCGCCAAACGAUUCACGAACUGUUCACUGAAUGUUCGGUUCGUUACAGCCCUACGAGUGAGAGUUGGGUAACGGGUCAAAACAAGUUAUGGUUGUUGACAUGGGUAACUUGAAACGGGUCAGUCGGGUUUGGGUUAACCAGAAAACAGUUUUUUUAAUCCCUUUUUCUAUAAAUAAUAAUAAUAAUAAACAAAAACAAUAUACUUAUUUGACCUUGUUUCAACCAAAAACCAACACGUUUAUGAGUAAGCGGGUCAAAAUAACCACCUCGGCACCCUCAGGCAACGAAUUUAUGCUGACGUCGGGAAUCCCGCGAACAGUGGAGGGUUCAAGAUUUUCUUGAUAAGCUCUCCAACUAGCAGCAAGAUCAAACGGUGAGACCCUGUUGGCCUUAAUGAACACUUGAUAUUCAAGAAUCUCAUCUGUAUUAAACGUGAAAACCGCCAAUCGCGCAACGCCUUGCAACGUACCACCCAUGAACUGCCGGUUCGGGCCUUCCUCCUCUAUGCACGGCACAUUGUUGUAUUUCGGCUUCAAUAAGAAUUUGAAGUCCAAAGUUUCUAAAAAAACAGACAAAACGGUUAACGGUGUAGCUGCAAUAAGUCAUCUGCUUAGACUUUUAAAGUCAAACCUCUUAUUUUUCAGCUUAAAAGAAACAAAAAAGUACCAUGAUUAGGAGGGACAACAAAACUUAAUUCCCACAUUGAGGUUGACUCGCGUUCCAUUGGAAGCUAAUUCAAGAAAACUAUCAACGUUAAAAAAUAUGAACAUAGGAAAAGAAUUGUCUAUCGGUUUUAUUAGAAGCUCGAAACAAAAGAUAAUAAAAACUAGAAACAUCAACAUUGAGGACACUCUAAAUAGGUUUCAUGGUUCGAAAUUUUAAACGUGAACAUCGACAAAGACUAAAUUGGUUACACCAGAGGCUAAAUACAAUAAUCAAGAUUAACAUGGGUAUUGAAAAAGAUUACAAAUAGGUUUGAAUGAAAGCUAGAACAACAAGAUUAUAAAAAUAAUAAAAGUGUACAUUGAGGACUGUAAAUAGGUUACCAAGAAACUAGAUACAGGAAACUUAUCAAAAUUAGAAACAUGAAUAUUGAGAAAAAAAAAAAAAAACUAUAAAUUGGUUACAAUUUAUAAAAUUAUCAUAAUUAGGAACAUGGGUAUUAAAAAAGAUUAUAGAUAGAUAGGUUUCAAUGGAAACUAGAAACAAGAAAAUUAUAAAAAUUAGUAACACAAUUGUAAAUAGGUUACCAAGAAACUUAUUAAAAAAAUCAGUUACAUUGAAGACUAUAUGCAAGAAAAUUAACAUAACAAAAUCAUCAAAACUGUAAGCAUAUGUAUUAAAAACAGAUUAUACAAUAGGGUCUCAUUGAAGCUAAAUACAAUCAAGAAUCAAGAUAAGCAAAAACCACUAGACAUUCAUCAAACAAAACCUUGUUGAGAACAAUAUAUAAUAGAUUAAACUUACAGCUUUUGAAGGAUCCCAAGAACCAACAAGAGGAACAGAGCCAUAAACAUGAGGAACAAGGUCUCCUUUGACAUUGUAAUUCUCCAUCUUCAAAGAAACAUAGAGUUGACCACCAUCUUUCUCCUCUCCACUGCCAUGAGAGCUGCUGUCAAGAUUCCUUGAAGUGCCAGUACCCAUUGCUGUAAAGCUGUGAUUUUGAUGAAACUAGUGGCUGAGUUGGUGAACCUGGAAGAGAACCCACAUGGGGUUUGAAGUUCUAACAAGAAAAGAUUGGAAUUGU